rnacentral:rRNA from 1 species
AUAACUCGGGAAACGGAGCUAAUACCGGAUAAUAUUUGAACCGCAUGGUUCAAAAGUGAAAGACGGUCUUGCUGUCACUUAUAGAUGGAUCCGCGCUGCAUUAGCUAGUUGGUAAGGUAACGGCUUACCAAGGCAACGAUGCAUAGCCGACCUGAGAGGGUGAUCGGCCACACUGGAACUGAGACACGGUCCAGACUCCUACGGGAGGCAGCAGC